AAAAAGAAAAAAAAGAAAAAAAACACCACCACCUUUUGACUAAGCGACUAAGCAUGCACAGGACCUGGAGUCACCAACACCGCCUUAGUAGGCGGACUGUACGACGGCGGUGGCGCCCCGGUUAUAGAUGGCCCAAUUGGCGGCGGCGGAGACGGCAACAACAACGGAGACGGCGGAGGAGUAUUAAGACUAGUAUCAGGUGGAGGAGGAGGAGUUGGGUUGGAGGUAGGGGGGCUAAAUUGCGGUGGGCUUGGCUGGUUGGAUCCGGAGAUUGGAGGGGUAGGCUGCUGGGUACCGGUAGAAACAGGGUUCGGAUAAGGUGGAGAUGGAUUAACAGGAGUAUUUGGAUUGGGGAAAGUAAUGGGUUGAGAAGAAUGGCAAGAAUCACCGGAGCAUUUGUGAGAUUUAUGGCGAAGAAACCCGAAUCCCAAGGUAAGACCAAGAACCACAAGAACUGUCACUAAGAAAAUAAAGAUCUUCGUUGCUUUCCCCACAUAACACAUUUUUCUCUAUCGCAGGUGCAGUCUGAGCUCUUUCGUACUAAAAAAUCACACAACUUACAGCUGAAGAACUAUACAAAAUCUGAAAUGGUUCUGAAUUUGGGGUCUGGUACAGAUGGGUUUUGGAAUGUUAUGGAGGAAGAAGAGAAUGGAUGGUUGGAUGGUGAGAGGAGCAAUAGCAAUAGGGGUCUGGUUUGGUUUGUCUGUAUAGGAAAGAGUUAAGCCUGGGUCACGUGGAGGCCAUUUGGAAAAGAUAGUAAAAGAGGUACUAAAUGCUGUCUCUUGUUCUGUUCCACUACCACCACCUACUACUCCGUUUGCAGUGUUCACCAUCAAAUGUAACUGAAUUGGCUCACUCGUUUAAAGGGUACCAUGUUUCAA
rnacentral:misc_RNA from 1 species